ACAUGGAAGAGAUUCUGUACCUGGUGGCACAACAGGAAGCCAUCAUGGAAGAGCAGCAUCAACAUCACAGGCUGCCCUGCUUAAUCUUUUAAGAAGAGCCCAGUUGAUGGGGAACUAGCCAUCAGUUGGCUACCAGGCAAGGCCUAGCAGUUCUUUAUCCAAGUGGAGACCAGAUGACCCUGAAGCCUAUCAUAUCAUAUAUGAGGGAGUAGUGAAAGCAGCCAGAAACAAAUAUUGCAGAAGUGCGGAGGUCAAGGAACACCAGUCUGUUAACAGGGAAACAUCCACUGGUGGUGAAGGCAUGUUUGGAGGCAAAAUAUGCAUCAGAUGCGAGGAGCAUCACAGUGUUCUGUUAAAGUGGAUUUCCUGCUGUGCACAGAGGGUAGAGUGUCAGUGGAAACAAUCUGCUAUGUGACAGUCUUGCCCUUGUUACAUGCUUCUCUCUAGCACUGAAGAGCAGAUCAUUGCUUCAAGGACUGUUUACAGAGACAUAGCUGCUAUUUGGCUCCCAAGUUGAGCCAGUGAGUGUAACCAGGCAGUGAACAGCAGGAAUUCUGCAAGGAACACACUUCAAAUUAUUCCAACAAAGAGCAGCAACCCCUUUCAAGAGACUUUGUUUUUCUUGCUGAAGUCAAUCUGUAGGGAAAUGUUUGCUGGAUUAAGUGACUAGAUUAAUAACCUCUACCGAAAAGGGGAUUCCCAUUGCCAGAGUGAGCCCUGUAUAAAGAAAAAAAAUGAAUUGAUAAAGGAGUGUUGUCUUAGAAGAACUUGAUUGCAGACACAGGGGAUGACAUUGGUGCUCACAAAGCAGCCAAGUACCGCAGGCUACCAAUGUCUGACAGAGGCUAGACAAAGCAGACAUAAAAGUGCAUUAAGAGUUCAUUUCCAUCAAGCAGGUAAAGAGUGUUCUCUAUGACUCAAGGCAGAGCAGGCAAAGCCUAUCCUGGGGAGCCCCCACAGAAGACGGACCUGGUAAAUCCACAGCAUUUUAGGAUUUCCCAUGGGAAAACAUCCGUAUGCUAAAUCUAUAGAGAAAGCAGUAAUCUCUUGUGAAACCUAUCUGCAAACUUAGAGCAUGUGGAUUUGCCUUAAAAACAUAGAUUUAAAUAAAAAUACCAGUGUAAAAAUCACUUCCAAGAGUGUAGGCCAACUCAGUUCAUUAGCAGAGCCCUUUGCUCUCCUCAGAUCAAUGCUGAAGCCAAGAAGUAAGUAAUCCUGCCAGAGGAAUCACUAGAAACAGACAGGUGAAGGGGUGUCUUCAGUGAAAGGACCAUUUUCUCCAAUCAGUCAUGUGGGUUGUUAAAGAACAGGGCUGACAAAGUGAUGACAGCUUUAGAAACCAAUUGUUUGCUUGCCUUGCGCACAGAAAAAAAUCAAUCCAGCAAAGGUGCCUUGUCACUAUCUUCAAUUUGACAGUUGUUAGUUUCAUUUAAAAUCACACCAUAAAGAAGGAAGCUUUUUAGUUAAAUCUCUGAUCAAGAAGAUCUGCAACCAAAACAGAAGUAGAGAGUGGUCAGAACACCAUCUCUGUACUUCAUGGCUGUCCUUUUAGCAGAACAAAUACAUUCAGUAUA